ensembl:snRNA U4 U4 spliceosomal RNA
AGCUUUGCGCAGUGGCAGUAUCACAGCCAAUGAGGUUUAUCUGAGGCCCAAUUACUGCUAAUUAAAAUGUGCAGGUAACUGACAAAAAACAUUUGGGGAAACUAUAUUU